UACGUAGGGACCAAGCGUUGUCCGGAAUCAUUGGGCGUAAAGAGCGUGUAGGCGGCUUGUUAAGUCUUGCGUGAAAUCUCGGGGCUCAACCCCGAGCGGUCGUGAGAAACUGGCAGGCUAGAGUGCGGGAGAGGAGAGUGGAAUUCCUGGUGUAGCGGUGAAAUGCGCAGAUAUCAGGAAGAACACCCGUGGCGAAGGCGGCUCUCUGGAACGCAACUGACGCUGAGACGCGAAAGCGUGGGGAGCGAACAGG
rnacentral:rRNA from 1 species